CACACACACACAGGUGAAGUUGUGCCAUGGGGAGGUGACACCAGGAGUAUAUAAAGCAAAUCUUGUAGUCAUCUCUUUAGUUUUUCUUUUAUCACCUGUACAGCCGCUCUCCUUCCAUUUACAUCACAGUUUUAUUUAGAACAGCGAUGGCAGCUUUGUCCAGGAGCAGAGGAAGCCUGUUCUUCAUCUUCACUCUGGUUUGCUUUGCAUGUUCACACAGGAAGAAAUGGGAAAUUUACAAGAAAUUCAUUGAAAAGCAACAACAAACACUGGACAGUUUAAAGGCA